AUUCUAGAGCUAAUACAUGCAAUCAAGCCCCGACUUCUGGAAGGGGUGUAUUUAUUAGAUAAAAAACCAACGCGGCUCGCCGCUUCCCUUGGUGAUUCAUAAUAACUUCUCGAAUCGCAUGGCCUUGUGCCGGCGAUGCUUCAUUCAAAUAUCUGCCCUAUCAACUUUCGAUGGUAGGAUAGAAGGCCUACCAUGGUUUCAACGGGUAACGGGGAAUAAGGGUUCGAUUCCGGAGAGGGAGCCUGAGAAACGGCUACCACAUCCAAGGAAGGCAGCAGGCGCCGCAAAUUACCCAAUCCCGACACGGGGAGGUAGUGACAAUAAAUAACAAUAUAGGGCUCUUUUGGGUCUUAUAAUUGGAAUGAGUACAAUUUAAAUCCCUCAACGAGGAACAAUUGGAGGGCAAGUCUGGUGCCAGCAGCCGCGGUAAUUCCAGCUCCAAUAGCGUAUAUUAAAGUUGUUGCAGUUAAAAAGCUCGUAGUUGAACUUCAGACCUGGCUGGGCGGUCCGCUUAACGGCGUGUACUGUCUGGCUGGGCCUUACCUCUUGGUGAGCCGGCGUGCCCUUUAUUGGUGUGCGUUGGGGAACCAGGACUUUUACCUUGAGAAAAUUAGAGUGUUCAAAGCAGGC
rnacentral:rRNA from 1 species